UCGUAGAGCUCCGGCUCUUCGAGGGAGAACCCUUGCCUUUUCGAGCACCUGUUUGUUUCCUCGGCAGGCCCGCCUGCCAAUGGGGACCCUUUCAAACUCUUGCGAUAACCUGUAAUAAAAUCGUCUGAACAAAACAAAUCUAAAUCA
rnacentral:misc_RNA from 1 species